UAUCUCUUCUUCUUCACACCUCCGGGCCAUCUAUCCCCUCACCUUCUAUAUCAACAAUUCGGCCACCCCGGCUUCCGGGCUCCUUCUCCGACUAUUUUUGAGACAAUAUAUCCAUUUUAUUUGCAUAAUCCGACCAUCUAUCCCCUCAUCCUCCUUAUCAACAAUCCUAUUUGUUUGUUCCACGUUUUCCGGCGUCCCAGCCUCCAUUUUCAGACGCGAUAUUAGCACGAAUUUUUUCCGGUGAAUAAGUUAUCCGGCGAACCAGUUUUCCGGCGAACAAUUUUUCCGGCGAACCAGUUUUCUGGCGAACGAUUUUUCUGGCGAUCCAGUUUUUCCGGUUUUCCGACUACUCAUUUUUCUGGUGAACCAGUUUUUAGACGAGUAUUACUACAAAAUUGCAAAGACGGUUCUACUUGGAACCCUAUCUAAAUCACCCAGAAACUCACCCCUUACGAGAGGCCGUGACUAAGAUGAUUCGUCAGGAUGCCCUAAAGAACUACAGGGAUAAAAAAUCAAAAUUCAAGAAGACUUGGUUCACCGAUAGGGGUAGGUCAUAGAGGCUGACAGAAUUGGAGGGUCAACCGUCGUAUGAAAUGCCUCCACAGGUCUGGAGUUAUCUACUGCGUUACUGGACCAGCGAGCACCGGAUGAUUGCUGCCCAAAGAAACACGAAUAACAGGCAUGGACAAGAUAAUCUUGUCAGUACUCACGGUCAGCAGUCAUACGCUCAGUGUGAAUGGCGUUACGCUGAAGAUAAUGAGGGGCGACGUGAGGAGCCGCCUGAGUUGUAUUUGGGGGCCCACGCGAGACGAGAUGGGACGGUGCAGAACGCAGCUAUGCCCAUUUAUGAGCGACUUGUUGAUACCCACCAUGUAAUUUUUUUGUAAAUUAGAUAAUAUAAAAAAGUUUCGUCAAUAAAAAAAAAAUACACAAUACUAUACAUCUUUGAUACACGUUUUAAAAACAUACAACCUAUAUACAACAUCGAACGAAUUUAAUCAUUUAUUACAAUAGGAGGCCCAGGUGGUACUCUUGGUAUGUUUGCAUACAUCCAAUUUUGAUACGCUUGUUAUUGAUUUGCGUACAUUGAUGCUAGUCCACGUGCAGGACCGGUUGCGUGGAAAUCCCACUCUGGAUUCUUGUAAGCCAUUGGGUACUGGCCUGCUAAUUCCACUGCAACAAAAUGGUUUUCGCCAUUUAUGAGAGCAAUACUUAUCGGUUGCUCGAAUAACAGUUCAUCCAAGCCGUCAUGCAUCGGGAAUACUGUGCGGGGGUCACGUAGGCUUAUGCAGUUGAUUAUUAUACCCAGCUUAUUGGCCAGGAGGAUAUGGAACCACACUUUACUCAUCCAAUGAUCUCUGGGUCGACUUCUUCCAUAAUAAGAUGUUCGCAGUGCCGACAACAUGCCGGAAAAAUGUAAUAAAACAUACUAACCGCGGUGCAUGUACUCGGCAAUCUUGCAGGCACAUGGUAGCCCGCAACUAGACUGAACCUUGCAACCGCAUUUUUUACGUGCCUUUUAGGGACUUUGUCUAAGCGUGCGAUUUCACCAGCCAUGAUGUCCAUAGCUUGAUGUGAAACCUUUCCCAACAGGUCCUUCAUACAGUUGUAGUUAUGACUCCCUUUCCGGGCCCCGUUGUUGUACCCUAGUUGGCCCCUUAUUUCUGUCUCUUGACCGAUCAGGACAUAAUCAACACAUUGCAGGAUUCUAGUAAAUGUGCAUUUCCCCCUCAACUCUUCCUUCAGUAGGUAGUGCUCGACCUCGACUCUGUUUGUGGUGUGGUUUUGGUAGUUGAGGUGUUCAUCGACCUAACAUGACACAAACUGCUCUCGGUACGGGGACAACCAAUUAUCGGUCAGGUACUUGUAAACGCCUGAGAAAGCUGCCAGUUUAUUCUUUAACUCCUUCUCGUAUGACUUAAACUCGUCAAAAGUCCGAGAUUGAUAGACUUUUUCCCACCAGACGUUAAGCUUGUCAAUGUUAACAUCUUUCUUCAUCCGCAAUGCCGGUUCGCAGUGUUUGAUUAUGUUUUGCCAUAUGUGGUACCUACACAGCAGGUGUUUCGCUUCCGGCAUAACAACCUUCAAAGUUCUCAUCAGGGCCAGCUCCCUGUCAGUAAGAACGACACGAACGACAAAGCUUUCAACAAGGGUGGACUUGAGACAUCGUAACACCCAUUGAUAAUUCGCCUCCUGCUCGUUUACGAUAAACGCAUACGCUAAACUGAAGGUCUUGCCCGUUGAAGUCACGCCGACGAUCUCAACU